GCGUGAGCCGAAUUGUGGUGGUGAAGACGAAAGACCCGAAAAUUCGUAAGACCACAAAUUCACAUAUCCGAAUUCGCUAGAGCAUCCAUCUGGAUCUUCUGGCAACAGAAUUUCUUGACGACCAUAGAGCAUUGGAACCACCUGAUCCCAUCCCGAACUCAGCAGUGAAACGAUGCAUCGCCGAUGGUAGUGUGGGGUUUCCCCAUGUGAGAGUAGGUCAUCGUCAAGA
rnacentral:rRNA from 1 species